rnacentral:rRNA from 1 species
GACGAACGCUGGCGGCGUGCUUAACACAUGCAAGUCGAACGGAAAGGCCCUGCUUUUGUGGGGUGCUCGAGUGGCGAACGGGUGAGUAACACGUGAGUAACCUGCCCUUGACUUUGGGAUAACUUCAGGAAACUGGGGCUAAUACCGGAUAGGAGCUCCUGCUGCAUGGUGGGGGUUGGAAAGUUUCGGCGGUUGGGGAUGGACUCGCGGCUUAUCAGCUUGUUGGUGGGGUAGUGGCUUACCAAGGCUUUGACGGGCAGCCGGCCUAAGAGGGUGACCGGCCACAUUGGGACUGAGAUACGGCCCAGACUCCUACGGGAGGCAGCAGUGGGGAAUAUUGCACAAUGGGCGGAAGCCUGAUGCAGCAACGCCGCGUGCGGGAUGACGGCCUUCGGGUUGUAAACCGCUUUCGCCUGUGACGAAGCGUGAGUGACGGUAAUGGGUAAAGAAGCACCGGCUAACUACGUG